rnacentral:rRNA from 1 species
CAUUAAAGAAUACAAGGCCUUCGGGUCCUAUUCUCACCCUUUGUAUACCAAAACUCUUGUUGCCUUGGCGCUUCGUGCGCCGAAGGAAGUAAACCCUUGAAUCUCUGCUGUCUGAGUACUAUAUAAUAGUUAAAACUUUCAACAACGGAUCUCUUGGUUCUGGCAUCGAUGAAGAACGCAGCGAAAUGCGAUAAGUAAUGUGAAUUGCAGAAUUCAGUGAAUCAUCGAAUCUUUGAACGCACAUUGCGCCUCCUGGCAUUCCGGGAGGCAUGCCUGUUCGAGCGUCAUUACAACCCUCAAGCUCAGCUUGGUCUUGGGCUCGCCUCCUUUGGCCUGCCUCAAAAUCAGUGGCGGCACAAUCCGAUCCUUAAGCGCAGUAAUACACGACGGCUUACUUGUGUGAAGAUUGCGGCUCCAGAAACCCCCACAAAACUAAAGUUGAC